rnacentral:misc_RNA from 1 species
UUUUUUUUUUUUUUUUUUCCUCCUCUUGUUUUUGUUCAUAUCCGUGUGGCUAUAGUUGGAUUUUCUUGGUAUUAGGAAGCAAAGGUUUAUUAAGAAAUCAAGAAAAAAAAAGCAGUGGCUAAGGAUCUGGAUUCAGUUCUAGUUAAUAGUCUUUUCUUUUUUCUCCCUCUUUCUCCUUGUUUCUUUUUGUGCGUUUUCAAAAAACCAAAAUUGUCUCUUUAAAUGAAGCCAAACAAAGAAGAAACUAUCAAAGUGAAUGAUACAAGGGUUAUGAGUUUUAAAGUCUAGCUAGCUGCUGCCAUAGUCUACAUAUUUGAGAAAUCCGUUUCAACUUCUCUAUUUGGGGUUCUUUCUCUUUCCAGUUUCUCCCUUAUUUUAGCUUUUUCUAGGUUUGGAUUUUUCUCUUUUAUUAUAUAUUCUUUGUCUUUAGAUCUAUUAUACCGUUUUUCACAUAAUAUGAAAACCGGAAGAAUCCAUGGCCCAUGAUGCAACCUUAAGCUUUCUAGAACUGCUUAUCUAAGAGAAGAAGAUGAUGAAAGGUUUGAUGUUUCAUCAGCAACAGCAACCACAAGAGGAAAGCAUGUCUAAUUUGACUUCAGCUUCUGGUGAAGCAAGUGUUUCUUCAGGCAACAGAAAUGAAACUGGAACUAACUAUCCUCAACAAUACUUUGCUCCUCCACCUCCUCAAACUCAACCUGUCAAAAAGAAGAGAAACCUGCCAGGAAAUCCAGGUUUCAAAUCCUUCUCGACGCCGUUAUUUUUAUUGCUUAUUAUUAUUUUCUGUGCCAAUUAUCAUCAUUUUCUCUUUUUGGUGGGUUCUUCAAUCAGACCCAGAUGCAGAAGUGAUAGCUUUGUCUCCCAAAACUCUACUGGCAACCAACAGAUUUAUAUGUGAUGUCUGUAACAAAGGAUUUCAGAGAGAUCAGAACCUUCAGCUUCACAGAAGAGGGCACAACCUGCCAUGGAAGUUAAAGCAAAGAACAAACAAAGAGGUGAGAAAGAAGGUAUAUGUGUGCCCGGAAGCUGCAUGUGUGCAUCAUGACCCAUCAAGGGCUCUCGGAGACCUUACAGGGAUCAAGAAGCACUUCUGCAGAAAGCAUGGUGAGAAGAAGUGGAAGUGUGAAAAGUGCUCAAAGCGUUAUGCUGUACAAUCAGACUGGAAAGCCCAUUCCAAGAUUUGUGGCACAAGAGAGUAUAGAUGUGAUUGUGGAACCCUUUUCUCUAGGUAAGAUCAAUACAUAAAUAUAUACACAAUUCUUUUUCAGGACAAGAAUGAAGUGUGAUCAGACAUUUUCUUUGGCUUCCUUUCAUUUCUAGUUCCAUGAUUGUUAAGUUAAUUAAUUAUUGUCUAUGAUGCUUUAUAUAUGCUCCGUGUGACAAAGAGAUCAAUAGGAAGAGGAGAGGGAGAGAGAGAGUUUUUGGAGUUGUAAAUUUCUUAUGGCUAUCUUAGAGGGCUUAAUAUUAGAAAAAUGGUUGAUAUUAUCUGCUAUUUCUUUAUCGAUCCUUGGGGAUAUGAAAAGGAAGAAAAUACAAAAAGUUGACACAAGAAAAUUAGAGAGAAAGAUAAGGGUGCUUGUACACUGUGAGCAAAUGCCAUUUUGAUAUUAUAGACUUUUGUUUUUAUCUGCUGGUCUAAUUGCAGGAGGGACAGUUUCAUCACCCAC